rnacentral:tRNA from 1 species
GGGGCCAUGGCGGAACAGGUAGACGCGCCGUACUUAAAAUUCGGUCUGGGGCAACCCAGGUGCCGGUUCGAGCCCGGCUGGCCCUA